AUUGAACGCUGGCGGCAGGCUUAACACAUGCAAGUCGAGCGGAGAUGAGGUGCUUGCACCUUAUCUUAGCGGCGGACGGGUGAGUAAUGCUUAGGAAUCUGCCUAUUAGUGGGGGACAACAUUCCGAAAGGAAUGCUAAUACCGCAUACGUCCUACGGGAGAAAGCAGGGGAUCUUCGGACCUUGCGCUAAUAGAUGAGCCUAAGUCGGAUUAGCUGGUUGGUGGGGUACAGGCCUACCAAGGCGACGAUCUGUAGCGGGUCUGAGAGGAUGAUCCGCCACACUGGGACUGAGACACGGCCCAGACUCCUACGGGAGGCAGCAGUGGGGAAUAUUGGACAAUGGGGGGAACCCUGAUCCAGCCAUGCCGCGUGUGUGAAGAAGGCCUUAUGGUUGUAAAGCACUUUAAGCGAGGAGGAGGCUACUGAGACUAAUACUCUUGGAUAGUGGACGUUACUCGCAGAAUAAGCACCGGCUAACUCUGUGCCAGCCGCCGCAGUAAUAC
rnacentral:rRNA from 1 species